CAGCUUCGGGGAGCACUGUGAGCUCGGGCGCAUCCCCCCAGCUCCACCCUUAUUCUAGCUUCCUCCCCACGUUCAGUUCAGCCUCCAGCUUAAUCACAAUCAAAGGCUUCUCUGAACCCGGAGGGAACCCACCGCUUGCGAACCAACCUGCUACCUCCUUGGCCCCUUGGCUGGAUCCGUCUCUACUGUGGAAAGAGUCUGCAUGUGUGAAUAGAGGCUGGGGGAGGCGGCCCGAGAGGCCUCCUUUUCUCAGGACCCCACUAAUGUGGCAUGGCCUGGGUGCCCACUGUCACGGGCAUCUGAGCCUUUUAGACAAGAGGGCCAUUUGUCACCGUCAGCGGUUUCCAGGAAAGCACCCUCGAGGGGCCCCCUUCUCCAGGGGGGUGCCAGGCUCUCCGCAUCUUUCUCUCCAUCUAAAGCACCCGGUGUGGGUGGAACAGCGGCGGAGGAAAGCCUGUGGGUGGCACUUAGGGAAUCUGCCGGCACUGCCAGCUUCCCCGUCAGCCUGGCCUGGGGCGUAGAACCAGAUCCCAGCACUGGACUGAAUUUCCCUCUGGGGCCCGAAGACCCUGAGAUUUCCCGGACCGGGUCUCAGGGGUUGGGGGAGGGCUCAGGGCCCCUCUCCCGACUCCCAUCCCACCCAGAGAGAGCCCCUCUGGUCAGCUUUACGUGUUGCAAUUCGAUGUAAGAUUUUGGUGGAUCAGAGAAAGCCUUUCUUUUACCUGAGCAGCCCCGGGACCAUCAGUGGAGCAGACGGGCCCCGAAGUGGCUCUGGGUGUCCGGCCUCCGCCCUGGGGCUCUUGACCUCUGGCUGACAGGUGUCUCUGUGUUUGUCCAGGUCCUCACACUGGAACCGGAGUGCCCGAGGGCAGUUGCUUGUCUCCCCUCCACGUCUCACGUGUGUCGUGACCACCCAGCCAAGGGCAGGGGCUGCCCUAAGAAGGCCCAGCAGUCAGUCCUUGUCCACCGAGGCUCACAAGCGACCGUCCCUGUGUCCUUGUCCACGUUGCUCACCCGAAGCAGCCACCUCCCCCAUCGCCUAGGGACCCGCAGGCAGGACCACCCACUCCGAGGAGGGACGUUUGAGAGGAGCCUUGAAAGAAGAAGCUGCACCGCCGUACCCUAAGUUCUGUUGGACGCCCCCCAGCCUCUGCCCUCUCCACCCCAACACCCGUGCUAAGCUCUGCCCCAGUACAUUCGGAGGCUGGCUACUGGUCUUGGAAGAAAGCAAAGUCCUGAGCUGGUUCUGAUUAAAGUCAAAGGAAACUUGGAGGCUCUUUUAGUGGGACGCCCUUUUUUCCGUAUAAUGGGGUGAGCUGAGUCAGGAGCAUGGCUUCCAAGGGCAGCUGGACCUGAGGAGCAGGAUGACUUCUGGCUCCAGUGUCUGGCCUGUGUCCUCAGGUCCACUGUCAGCAUUGGAGGGUCAGCUACGAAGCGCCCCUUGAACUUGAGAAAAGCGCCUGUCUCCUUUGUUUCCCUGUCACUCUCUUCCUAGCUCUACACUGCAGGUGAAGGAGUCCAAAUUUGGCAGGUUAAUUAACUUUCCGUAUUUUCCUCUCUCUCCCGCUGAGUGGCAAGUGUGCUCUGAUGGAUCUGGGUCACAUUUUCUAUUGUAAUUCCUUCAGUCUUGGAUCAGUGAUCUGGGGGGCUUGGAUUUCUCUUCCUAGAUGCCUGUCAUUUUUUCCAGAGGCUGGUUCAUCCGCCGUCUCUCCCAGCAUCAGGCUCAGCUCGCAGGAGGCAGUGAAGCGAAGCCCCAGGGCGUUUGUGACAGCUGACAUAUUCCCCACAAGCUGCGGACCGAUUCACCUUAAAUGAGGAUUUAUGAUCAAUCCUCAUAAAUUAAGGCUUCCUUAGUUGCUGGCAUCCAAGUCCCAGACCCCAGCUGGAAAGAGGCCAUGCCAUGGACGAGUGACUUACAGUCUAGUUCUAGAAGGUUCAAAACCAGGACUGUUUCUGGGGACUAAACUCCACUCUGCAUGUCAUCAGCUGUCUGGGCUUCCUCUCUUUCUCGGUCUCUGGAGCACUCGCUCACACUCACACCCUCACGUGGCCGCCCUCUGCUCUGCUCGGCGCCAGCUCUGUGCCCUUGCCAGUUACUGAACGUGCCCACCUGUGUCCUCAUCUCUGCAAAAGGGUAGCAUGGUAACUGAUCCCUCGGUGGUGGGUUGAAUAGCAGUCCUCUCCCUCGCUAUGUCCGUACCCCAGAUCCUGGUACCUGCAAACGGGACCUUAUUUGGAAAUGGGGUCUUUGCAGAUGUAACGACUUAAGGAUCUAGAGCAUCCUGGAUUCACGUGGACCCUGUGGACUGAAAAACAGUGCACAACCGAAAAUUGAGAUUAGGUUUGACUCAGUGGGCUUGCUGAGGACUUCGGCCUGGGAAGCAGCCUCUCAGCACUGAGGCACGGCUCCAAAGAGGUCAGGGAAGAACCUGAUAUACAGGAGUUUUUGCACCAAAACCCAGGGAGGUGGACCAUCAAAAAGCUACUGUUAAUUAAAGAAAAGCCAACCAUCUCGGGUUAAUGAAUGCAGUGGUUUUCUAUGUAGAGGAAGAUGCAGGGGUCUGGGCUUAUUAGAUACAAAACUACUGUAUAUGAAAUAGAUCAACAACAAGGUCCUACUUAAACUAUAGUCAAUAUCAUGUGAAAAACCAUAAUGGAAAAGAAUCUGAAAG